rnacentral:rRNA from 2 species
CCUACGGGAGGCAGCAGUGAGGAAUAUUGGGCAAUGGAGGCAACUCUGACCCAGCCAUGCCGCGUGCAGGAAGACUGCCCUAUGGGUUGUAAACUGCUUUUAUACAGGAAGAAACACACCUACGUGUAGGUGCUUGACGGUACUGUAAGAAUAAGCACCGGCUAACUCCGUGCCAGCAGCCGCGGUAAU